rnacentral:rRNA from 1 species
ACAACGGAGGCGAGUGUUGUUCAUCAGGACUCGGUGUAAAGGGCAGGUAGGUGGGGAUCGGGAGGCCUUCUUCGAAAUCGAUUCGAUACGGAAUCGAGAAGAGGAAAGGAACACGGUCCCUUGAGUCUGAGAGAGGUAUACGGAAUGACUUCGGGACUAGUGAAAUGGGUUGAUCGAAGUCGGAACUCCAGAGGUGAAGACGGUAUACUGGAUCAGGUGGGCUUCAAAGACGAAGGUCGGAAGCUCAAGAAACUGACGCUGAACUGCGAAAGCAUAGGGAGCAAAAGGGA